AUUGAACGCUGGCGGCAGGCUUAACACAUGCAAGUCGAACGGUAACGGGUUGAAAGCUUGCUUUCAAUGCUGACGAGUGGCGGACGGGUGAGUAAGGCUUGGGGAUCUGGCUUUUGGAGGGGGAUAACCAUUGGAAACGAUGGCUAAUACCGCAUAGUAUCGAGAGAUGAAAGGGGUGGGAAACCACUUGCCAAGGGAUGAACCCAAGUGAGAUUAGGUAGUUGGUGGGGUAAGGGCCUACCAAGCCGACGAUCUCUAGCUGGUCUGAGAGGAUGGCCAGCCACACUGGGACUGAGACACGGCCCAGACUCCUACGGGAGGCAGCAGUGGGGAAUAUUGCGCAAUGGGGGGAACCCUGACGCAGCCAUGCCGCGUGAAUGAAGAAGGCCUUCGGGUUGUAAAGUUCUUUCGGUGGUGAGGAAGGUGGUAGUGUUAAUAGCGCUAUUGUUUGACGUUAGCCACAGAAGAAGCACCGGCUAACUCCGUGCCAGCAGCCGCGGUAAUACGGAGGGUGCGAGCGUUAAUCGGAAUAACUGGGCGUAAAGGGCACGCAGGCGGGACGUUAAGUGAGAUGUGAAAGCCCCGGGCUUAACCUGGGAACAGCAUUUCAUACUGGCGUACUAGAGUACUUUAGGGAGGGGUAGAAUUCCACGUGUAGCGGUGAAAUGCGUAGAGAUGUGGAGGAAUACCGAAGGCGAAGGCAGCCCCUUGGGAAGAUACUGACGCUCAUGUGCGAAAGCGUGNGGAGCAAACAGG
rnacentral:rRNA from 1 species